rnacentral:rRNA from 1 species
CCUACGGGAGGCAGCAGUGAGGAAUAUUGGUCAAUGGGCGUAAGCCUGAACCAGCCAAGUCGCGUGAGGGAUGAAGGUUCUAUGGAUCGUAAACCUCUUUUAUAAGGGAAUAAAGUGUGGGAAGUGACCUAUUUUGUAUGUACCUUAUGAAUAAGGAUCGGCUAAAUCCGUGCCAUCAGCGGCGGUACUACGGAGGGUCCGAGCGUGAUCCGGAUUUAUUGGGUUUAAAGGGUGCGUAGGCGGGCUUUUAAGUAAGCGGUGAAAGUCUGUGGGUCAACCAUAGAAUUGCCGUUGAAACUGGGGGGCUUGAGUAUGUUUGAGGCAGGCGGAAUGCGUGGUGUAGCGGUGAAAUGCUUAGAUA